rnacentral:tRNA from 1 species
GUUUUGAUAGUUUAUAAAGAAUAUAGUGUUGAAACCGCUAAGGAUAGAACUCUAUCGAGACA